rnacentral:lncRNA from 1 species
GCUAUUGAUAUGAACUACCGCUUCUUCUUAGUAAAUAUUGUUGCAGGUUUUGUCAACUCAAUCAUCAACAUUUGAUUAUUACAUAAGAAUACAAAUUUCUCACUAUCGCAUAAACCAAACAACUAAAAUAUUCCGUUUAAAAAAUACAGUGCCUCGUUUAUUAUUAAACAAGGAGAGUGCAGACGAUACUUCAGCGAAAAUCUAGAUUCCAAAGUCGAAGAGAAAAAAAAACAAUCAUGCAAAAAACAAGCAAGUCUAAAAAGAAUCUGCAUAAAAACUGCACACUGAUCAACACAAACUCGACCAAUAAGUAACCAGUGUAGAUUUUAUUUGAUUCAUACGGAUAACUAUAUGCUGCUUCUUGUGACACCCGUCUUUCCCCUCACAAUAAGCACAUGAUAAUUUAGCUUUAAAUAUAUAUCUGCAAGCAAAACGCAUUUUAAAAUAAUAAGAAAUUCAUUUCAACAAGAGAAUUGCAAUUUGAAUAUUUCCUCUCAUUAACAUCCA